UGUCCUCAGGAAUGUACCACACUGCAGGUUCCACCACCGCUUGUCCUCAGGAAUGUAUCAAACUGCAGGUUCCACCACCGCUUGUCCUCAGGAAUGUACCACACUGCAGGUUCCACCACCGCUUGUCCUCAGGAAUGUAUCACAC